rnacentral:rRNA from 1 species
UACGAAGGGUGCAAGCGUUACUCGGAAUUACUGGGCGUAAAGCGUGCGUAGGUGGUUUGUUAAGUCUGCUGUGAAAGCCCCGGGCUCAACCUGGGAAUGGCAGUGGAUACUGGCAGGCUUGAAUCCGGGAGAGGGAUGUGGAAUUCCAGGUGUAGCGGUGAAAUGCGUAGAUAUCUGGAGGAACACCGGUGGCGAAGGCGGCAUCCUGGACCGGCAUUGACGCUGAGGCGCGAAAGCCAGGGGAGCAAACGGG